UUAUAGUAAGAAGGUGGGUAGUCUGGAAAAUCUGUAGUGUAAACCCCGCUAGUGUGCCUGCAAUAAAGUUUUCAUAAUGUCAUUUCCAAGCAUGCAUAGUGUCACAAGAUGCUUCAAAUAACCUUCCCCAUAGGGGUUAUAUAGAGGGCAGGAAGUUUCUGGAGACUCUUGGAGCCAUCUACACUAAGCCAUUGGUGGGAAGAGUGUCAAAGGUUCUAGAGAUGCUUAGAGAUGUCCACACAUCUCUACACUAUAGUGGAAGACAUGAGAGGAGUCCAAAGCUUUCUAGAGAAUUCUAGGGAUCUCUUGUAUAUUCUUGUACCUAAGCUUGUACAUAGAAUUGUGUAGGAUGUUCUAAAUUAUUCUUGAGUUGUAAGGAACCCUCCAAGGUUCUAGAAACUUCCUAAGGUGCCAAUAAAUAGCUUAAGACCUCAUUUGGCCAAGGCACCACCCAAAUCACUUCCUAACCAAGCAAGUGAGUUCUCAAAGCACUUGUAAAGCUUCCUUUGAGCAAUAAAAACUUCCAUUCAUUAAGAGUUGCCUACUACCCCUUCUAAAGCUUCCAAGUCAUGAGCAUCUUAUCCUAGCAAGCUAAGCAUCGGGAGUAAGAUUGACUUAGCAAGAUUAAGGGUCUUGACUUGUCUAAGUGCCGCACGAGCUUAGGAAAAGCCUAAGUCUGUGACAGUUGGUAUCAAAGCGCGACUAUGAAGCGGGCAUAGUAAAGGAAGCAUGUCGGGAUCCAACAUGGAGGAGACUAGUGAGCCAACCCGUGGGAGGGAGAUCGAGCCUACUACAUGGGGCAAGGGUAGGGGCAGGAAGGAUAAAUCUCGUGAUUUUAUAGCCAACAUGGGGCAAACACCCGGGAAGGGGUGGACUUGAUCGAGCAAGACAUGGAGAAGGGCUUAGAGGAUCUAAGGGAGGAGAUCCAAGACCUUCAUGAGGGGGUGAUAGGCUCACAAGUUCAGCCAGUGUCACACGAGGAGUUUAUGUCCUUCCAAGAAAAGGUCUUGAGCAUGCUUGCUAGCAUGGAGUCAAGGAUGGAGGCCUUGGCCACUCGAAUGAAGUCCCGAGACUAGGAGGUUAGGCAAGAGUUGGCCAUUUACAAGGCUAUUAUGUUGGCACGGGUCAUGGCCACACAAGAGGCAUCUAGGGUGGAGGUGCCAAAGCCAUAAGGGUUUAGUGGCAAGCGGGAUGCCAAGGAGUUGGACAACUUCUUAUGGCAUAUGGAGUGAUACUUCGAGGCUAUCGCACUAACUGAUGAGAUGACUAAGGUAAGGACUGCAACCCUCUACCUUACUGACACAGCUACUCUAUGGUGGCGUAGAAGGUUCGCCGAUAUGUAGAAAGACAUUUGCACCAUAAAGACGUAGGAGGACUUUAAGAGGGAGAUCAAGAGAUAGUUCUACCCCAAUGAUGUGGCUUACUUAGCUAGGAAAAACACGAGGUGUCUCAAGCACAUAUGGGCUCAAUGUAGCUGCUAGGUGCCCUCCAAGUCAACCUAAAGCCUAGUACGCCUAAGACCUCCUUACUAUUAGGGGUACAAGUAAAAGAGGUAAAAAUGGAGCGAGCUAAGCUAGGCCACACACACAUGAACAAGGUCACCAAGGGAAAAGUAAACUCAAUGGUCAAGAGGAAGCAACACUCCAAGCAUUGAAAGUGUAGGUAUUUGCAUCCAUCUGAGGGCUCACGGGAGAAGGAGGUGAAAAAUAUCCUUGCUAAACGGGUCAUCAGGAGAUAAGGAGUCCCUCUUGCGAUAGAGUAUCUAGUCUAAUGGAAAGUGUAGGACCUCAGACGCUACCAACUCUCCUAAAAGCAAUUGCUGUUAGGAAAUACGCAUACCCUAACCUUAUAGUGCAUUCACCCAAGCGUCCACUGCAAACACAAGGGGAGUUGAUGGACACAGCCAACCCUCCGAUCUGCUAACAAUCUCCCCCCCAGCGACACCCCUGGAGUUCGAACUCGUGACCUCGGCUCUGAUACCACUUGUAGGACCUCAGGCGCUACCAACUCUCCUAAAAGAAAUUGCUGUUAGGAAAAGUGCAUACCCUAACCUUAUAGUGCAUUCACCCAAGCGCCCACGACGAACACAAGGGGAGUUGAUGGACACGACCAACCAUCCGAUCUGCCAACAAAAAGGACUACCUAAGAGGCAGGCAAACUGGGAACAUGCGGAUUCCUUGAGAAGGUUCUGGAAACACAUCGAGAGGUUUCAAGAAGAGGCAACGACGGGGAUGUCGACGACAUAGGUGGGGGAGAGUGUCACAAGAUGCUUCAAAUAAUCCUCCCUAUAGGGGUUAUAUAGAGGGCAGGAAGCUUCUGGAGACUCCUAAAGCCAUCUACACUAAGCCAUUGGUGGGAAGAGUGUGGAAGGUUCUAGAGAUGCCUAGAGAUAUCCACACAUCUCUACACUAUGGUGGAAGACAUGAGAAGAGUCCAAGGCUUUCUAAAGAAUUCUAGGGAUCUCUUAUAUAUUCUUGUACUUAGGCUUGUACAUAGAAUUGUGUAGGAUGUUCUAGAUUAUUCUUGAGUUGUAAGGAACCCUCCAAGGUUAUAGAAACUUCCUAAGGUGCCUAUAAAUAGGUUAAGGCCUCAUUUGGCCAAGGCACCACCCAAAAACCACCGAAAUCACUUCCUAACCAAGCAAGUGAGUUCUCAAAGAACUUGUAAAGCUUCAUUUGAGCAAUACGUUUUCUAAAACUUUCAAGUCGUGAGCAUCUUAGCCUAGUAAGCUAAGUAUCGAGAGUAAGACUGACUUAGCAAAAUCAAGGGUCUUGACUUGUCUAAGUGUCGCACGAGCUUAGGAAAAGUCUCUAAGUCCAUGACAAUAUGCUAAUAUCAGAGAUAAUUGUGAUGGAGAUUCUUUUAGCUUGAUAUUUCCUUGUAGACAUCGAUUUCCUUGUUAAAUAAGAAAAUUUGGGAACACGCCUACAACCUGCUUUUUGGGGCACACUAGAAGUCAUUAAUUAUGGGGGCCGCAAUAUUUAAUGGAAGGAUCACUCAACUCUAGUAUUCAAACACAACAAGAUUAAUUAGUUUAAAAUAAUCAAAGAAACAAAGAAACAAAAUAAAGAUAGAGAAAAUUAAAGAAUAAACAAAAUGAUACCAGUACCUGUAAUAGGCAAGCAGAAUACUUGAAGUUGGGUCCAUAAAAGUGAUGUUGUUCAAGCUGGCAGCAAGAUGGCUGACCUCCGUCCCCUCAAAUGUAUAAUUAACCUUAUUUAUGGAAGCUGUAACGAGCAUCCUGGUAGUUAUUUUGAGUGGGACACUGACUGGGUGCUCUGGGGUUGCUAAGCUCCUCAAGAGGGGAAGAAAGCCUAAUCCAGAGUCCAAGUCAUGGAACAAGGGAAGAUUAGCGGGAAAGGAAGGUACAUCUGGGGGAGGAUAGUUCCCCCUAUACUGAAGAAUAGCAGUAGCCGUCAUAUUAUUGAAUUCGGCAAUACUGGACUCCAAGGUCACGAAUUGUCUUGCAGCCAUGUAGUAAUGACUUAAACUCUGGUUUGUUGUGAUCAAAACAUCCAUAGUUUGGCCUGGGGCUAUCAUGAUAUAACUGGUCACUCUUGGCUUAGUGUAGGUUCCGUCCGUGCCAACGAUAGUGAGGUUAUGCUCAGAUAUGGCAAAGAAGAGUUCUGAAUUAACCACUGCAUUCACUAUGCGAAGAAGAUAUGUCUUGCCAUAGUCCACUAGCCAACGGUGUGUUGUUUCUGCAUGCAACCCAUGAAUUAGGGGAAUACAUAUAAGACAUAAUUAUCUACUUGAUAGUGGUUUUAAAAAAUAUUUGGAGUUUUUCCACUCGAAAAUAAUUCUUUUGAUAAAAACUUUUGAGUACAGACAAAAUUUAUAAACGACUUCUCAAAUUAUCAUCAAACAAACUCUAAACAUGGCUAGGUACCAUAUAUAAAACAUACCACCACCGCAUGCGACAAGAUCUCCUGGUUCGCCGUUGAUGGUGAAAGCAAUAUCAUCGAGCGUAGUUACAGUUUGAUUUGACAGGAACUCCUUAUAUAACUCAUUCAAGUUUCCCGCAAACCAAGAUGCCGCAAGUACAAUAAAAAUAAAACACAAUCGACCCUUAGUGUGUUUUUCAACUUGUUUUAUGGGAAAAAUGAAUCUCAAAAUUUUUAAAUCAUUAAUAUUUUUUUCUAUUUAAAAAUAAUUUAAAAUAUAUGUAUUUUGUAACGAGUUAUUUAGCUAUUCUCUAAAAUACUUUUUUACUUGUCAUGUUAUUAAUAUCAAUUGACAAUUAAACUCAUUUAUAUAAAUAUUUUUUCAUUUUUUAGAUUUAUUAUUAUUAUUAUUAUUAUUAGUAUUAUUUUAUUAUUUAAGAUUUUUGUUUUCCAUUGCUUCUAAUAUCCACACCCUUCAAACUACCUCACUUUUGCUAUGAAAUAUUGGUUCAUGAAGACAAUAAUAAAGAGUAUUUGUUUAUGGGGGAUCUCAAAUGAUAAAAUAAUAAUAAUAAAAUAAAAUAAUAAAAAAAAAAGAAUGAAAACAUUUAUAUGAAGGAGUUUAGUUAAUUGAUGUUGAUAACAUGACAAGUGAGAUUGACAUUUUAGAGAAUAAUUAAAUGACUCAUAGAAAAAUAUUUAUAUUUCAAAUUAUUUUUAAAUAGAUGAAGAUAAUAUUGAUUUUAAAAUUUUAGAUUCUUUUUUUAAUAUUUUUUAUAUUAGUGAGUCAAAACUCACUUUUCCCUUAAUAAUAUCUUUCCUUGUGUUUCAUUUUGGUGUUGAUUUCACACAUGUCCAAGUAGGGUUUAGCAUAAAUACAUUGCAUCAUUGUUUAUUUCAAAUUUCACAGAUCUAUAAAAUUUGAAACUAAGAUGUGCGAAGUUUGAAACUAAAAAUGGUUUAGAGUAUUUACUCCAAGGCCAGAGGCAUGUGAGUAAAAUUAACCCUUUUAGUUUAUUAAUAAAAGAUUUUAAAACAUUUUACCUUUAUCUUUAAAAAAAAAACGUUUUUUAUUUUAAUCGAUUUUUAGAAUUCUUAAACCUAAUUUUCAUAUAAAAUCAAAUCAAAUUCACUUUUGAAAGUUUUAGGUCAAACUAUCCCAAUUUUGUGUAAUUUGGAUGAGAAAGAAAUUUAUCAUAAAUUAACAAAGUGAUCAUUAACAAAAAAAAAAAAAAAAGGAAUAUAAUUGAGUUAAGUUCUAUUUUUAUCAAUUUUCUCUCAUUUUCAAGAGAAACUAGAUCUAAAAAAAAAAAUUCAUGAAUUUUUACUCAAAAAUGAAAUUAACAACAUAAAAAUCACUUAAUUUUAAGUAGAGAUGAACUUAAAAUAAAUGCGGCUACCAUUUUUGUCUCAUAAAUUAUUUAACUUUUCAUUAAAAUUAAAUUUCAUAAAUCUAUGUACAUUCUUUGUUCAAAAAUGAAAACAUCAACCCUGAAAUCAUAAAAUUUUUACUAGCUAGAAAGGAUUCAUUAUAAUUUUUAAAAAUUCAAACCAGUUAUAAUAGAAUAAAACUAAUUAAAUAAACUAGCUAUCAUGGAUUCCAUUGAAAUUUUAAUCAAAACUUUAAAAUAUAAUUGACACACAUCCAAGUAUUAACUAGAAUCAAUCUCAAAUAAUUAUUAAAAAAAAAAAAAAGUCAGGAUACGAUAUUUUUUUUCAAAUUAGGAGUCUAUUUAUCUAUGUGAUUUAAAAAUGAUUUUUUAUUUUCAAAAAUAAAAAAAAUAUUUUUAAAAUUUUUGAACACUAUUUGACCUUUGUUUUCUGAAAACAAUUUAUAAAAACAAAGUGAAAUAGAGAACAAUUUAUAAAACAUAAAUAGAAAUUGUUUUCAGUCAUUUUUUAAAAUAAAAGGAAAAUGUGUUCUAAAACUUAUUUUUAAAAACUGUUAAAGUUAAAGGAUGAAAAACAAUUUUAAAAAUAAGUUUAUGAAAACAGGUUCAAUGGCCCUAAAAUUGUAAACGAGAUUGUAUUAUUGAAAUGAGAUUAUUAAUUUAUUGAAUAUUUAUUUAUGAAAGUUUGACUAUAUAUACCUAAUACCAGGAGAUGUUCACCAUCAGGCUUGGGAAAUGGGUAGGUGGUUCCUUGAGUUGGCAAGAUAACAAUGGCACCAUGAACAGUGGCCCUUGUCCAGUCACUAUGGGCAUGCCACCAAAGGGUUCCUUCCUGAUCUUCACCAAAUAUCACCUUGUAUGUGAAGUUUGUUCCUGGCUGAAUCCUGCAUUGAGUUAUGUGGUCUGGACCAUCUGACCAUGGAUUCCUUGUUUGCUUCACUCCAUGCCUGCAUCACAACAUUCUCAUAUGUAAUUUAUCUUCCGCUCACAGAGUGUAUGAGAAGGAGAAGUAUCGAUCCGUACCAAUGGAUAGUGACACCAAAAUCGUCUUGAUUGUGAACGUUGACAUACACCAGGUCGCCUCUGUGAAUACGAAAUCAUGGUUCAAAAUCUCGGUCGAGACCGGUACGACUCGGCCGAGUCGUAUCCGCCUCGACCAUGGCCGGUACCGGACCGAUACCCGAGUUGGAGUAGAAAUUGUGGAGAAGAUCAGAAUCAUCAGAUGAGAGGAUCAAAACCCACGAAAAUGAAAAAUACAGAGUUAGAACCCUGCAUCUUGGAGUCGCCGGCGAGGUUGAAGAAGCACGCCUGCUUGUUCGGAUUGCCCAAGUUCCCGCCGGAGAUGGAACUGAGCGACAUGAGGAGCAGAGUCGCCGGACUUCGGCACCGCUGUUAUCAUCGACGGUCCUGAUGGGUUUGCAGUCGGGACAAACUGUGUUAUGGAACUUCUGCAAGGAUUUGCCUCCAGUGAUCAUGUAGGCUGACAUCCCACUCAUGGUUCAAAAUCUCGGUCGAGACCGGUACGACUCGGCCGAGUCGUAUCCGCCUCGACCAUGGCCGGUACCGGACCGAUACCCGAGUUGGAGUAGAAAUUGUGGAGAAGAUCAGAAUCAUCAGAUGAGAGGAUCAAAACCCACGAAAAUGAAAAAUACAGAGUUAGAACCCUGCAUCUUGGAGUCGCCGGCGAGGUUGAAGAAGCACGCCUGCUUGUUCGGAUUGCCCAAGUUCCCGCCGGAGAUGGAACUGAGCGACAUGAGGAGCAGAGUCGCCGGACUUCGGCACCGCUGUUAUCAUCGACGGUCCUGAUGGGUUUGCAGUCGGGACAAACUGUGUUAUGGAACUUCUGCAAGGAUUUGCCUCCAGUGAUCAUGUAGGCUGACAUCCCACUUCUACAAUCACCUGUUGAGGCACCACAAUCCAGAGGGGCAGAGGCCAAGCUUUUCACCGAAGGCAUGCUGUCCUAACUCACUCUCAAAUCGCUUUCCAAAACCAUUUCACACCGGAGGGUUAUGGGUAUUUGGAGGAUUUAGGUUUUAAAUAAUUUGUAUUUAUUUUUUAAUUAGAUUAUGAGUAUUUGAUGGGAUAUGGAUUUUAAAUAAUUUGAUAAAAAUUAUAAUGAUGAAAAAUAAAUAAUAAAUAUUAGACUUAUAUCAAAUAAAUAUUUAUAUAAAAAUUAAAAUUAAUGAAUACAUUUUAUAAGAAAAAUUAUAUUUAUUUUUUUAAAGAUGAAUUAUGGUUUUAUUUUUUUAAUAAUUGAAAACAUUUUUAAAAAAAUUAAAAAUAUUUAAUUUAAAUAAUUUUUUAUUAAAAAAAUUUACUUUUUAUUAUUUUCAUCUUCAAUAAGAAAUAUUUAUCAUCAAGUAAUUAAAUUAAAAUAUUUUUAAAGAUUUUUAAUAUUAUUAUAAAUCAUCCCAAAAAUAUGCUUUUAUUAUAAUUUGAAUCAUUUUAAUAUAAUAGAAGUUUAUUUUAUUAAUUUUUUUACUCUACUUAUUUGUAUUUUAUUUUUUUAAUAAUUUUCAUAAUUUUUUAAAAUUAUUUUGAGCUCUUAAAUUAAAUUUUUGCGUAUCACCCGAUACCGAUCCGAGAUACCGAUACCGAUGUGCCUCAGGACCUCCCGAGUCAAUGACCGAUACCGCGACUUUGAACCCUGCGAAUCACCGGCCCUGGAAAGCUGUCAUUUACAGUCGUCAUGCUCUUUGUGCUGCACAGCCUCGUGAAAUUGGUCUCUUUCAGCUGCAAAACAUCAGAAUACCCAGAAAGAAAAAACGCUGGUUGACUGAAGAAGGUGCUAAAAUAGUACUCACAACAAAAUCAUAGGAAUGGGUGCGCCCUUCAGCCAUGGAAGCUAACAUUCCAGUCAAAAGCGCAGGCACUAGCACCUCUAAUAAAAACCUCAUCUUCUUCAUCUUCACUCAAAUUCAAGCAUUAAACUCUUUGCUUCUUGAUCCUUUUAUUUCUGAGCUUGUUUUCUCUCUGAAGCUGAACAUGAUAUUUAACUAUUUAUAAUGAACCGUAGUGAUCCUACCAAUGGGUCAUGGACAUGGUAUGUGGGCUGCGCUGACUUACUGUUUUAAAGUGAAUUAUUUGAAGUUCCCAAAUUAACCCUGGUAUGGGAAAGUUUCAUCAAUCAAUUAUAAUUAUUUAUUUAUAUUUUCCAAAGAUUAUAUCCAUUAAUCUUUUGUGCUUACUUCUAGUUGUUACAAAGUUGGAUGGGAGACUCCAUCAACCCAAGCAUGCAAGACCCCAACCAGAUCCACAAUCAAGCGGGUCCCCUACACAAUUGGAAGUUGUCGGUGGUCCUCUCUCUUUGUGAUUUUUCAUUUUAUAAUAUUUUAUUAAAAUUUCAUAAUUUUCUAGCUAUACGACAGCUGGUUAGUGCAAAAAAAGAAAAAAAAAAAAAAAAAAGAGUUAAUCAAAUCUAGCUACCUUUCAAUGGGCGUCUAAGCAAAUUUUGCGAGGUCCACAUUUUUGAAUGGCAAGCAACCGAAAUUUCCGAGUAGAAACAAAUAAAAUAAUCCAAAAAAUAAUUAAAACGCUAACUCGUUUAAAAUCAUUUUUCAAAAUUAUUCUCUAAUUUUUUCUAGAAUAAAAAAAAAUUUGAACUUAAAAUAUUUUUUACCUGUUUUUAAUUUUUUUAAAUAUAUUUAAAAAAAGUUAUAUUUAAUAUUCUAUUUUUAAUUAUUUUACAUGUUUCUAUAAUUAUUUCUUAAAACAAUCUUAAUAAAAUAAGUGAAAACAAUAGAAAAUAAUUAAUAGAUGUUCUCUUAAAAACACCAUGCUUUUAGUUCAUAAGAUCGAAAAACAAAAAACAAUUUUUAAUUAUCAUGUUUUUUAUUUUAAAGAAUAGAAAACUAUUCUAAAAAAUAAUUUUUAAACAAGUCCUAUAUAUAUAUAUAUAUAAAAUAGUCUACAUUGACCUAAAACUCUCAAAUUUAAACACAUUAAUGAAAUAAUAAAUCAAUAUUGCAAUAAAUAAAUUAACUAAUGUUUUUCUAGAAAGGCACAUGUAGAUAUGUUAUCCUAAUCACCUUUCUAAGUAUAGGUGGCAACAGUUGAAUUGUCCAUAUCUUAAUACCCAACGAAAGAAGAAAAUAAAAUAUAUUUUAACUUUGAGUGAAGUUGGCAAAAUUCUUGAGGUCACUUCAAAACAUAAGUAAAAGAUUUUGUUAUCAUAGACAGAUAUGGAAAUGUUAUACACUCAUAAUUCUAUGAAGGCCCAUAAAUGCUAUCGUAAAAAUAUUUAAAAGAUUAUCAAUUACAUUAUAAUUGAUAAUGACUUAUCAAACUAAUUAAUAUAUAUAUAUAUACUUUUAUUCCAUUUUUAUAAUAAUGGCUUCGUGGAGAAAUUGGUUAAGGUAUUGUAGUGCAUUGAAAAUAAUAAUAAUAAUAAUAAUAAUUAAUAAUAAUUAAUAAUAAUGGGUGGAGUUGGUGAAAAGAAAAAGGAGAAUAAGAUAAUAAUAAAGAAAAUUAAAGAAGGGUUAUGGAGAAGAGAUGCCAAUUCCCAUGGUAAUGCAUAUAGUGAAUAAAAAUUAAAAUAAUAAUUUAUUUUUAAGGUAUUUUUAUUUUGGACCGUAAAUAAAAAAGAAUAAUAUGAACUAUUCUUGAUAAGGAAAAAAGUGAUAAAAAGGGGUAUAGUAUGAAUACAAUAUUUUUGAGGAAUCUAGUUUAAUUAAAUAAGCUAAAAGAGAAAUAAAUUAUUACGAUAUAAUUUGGUAGGAAUAUGAGUUUUAUAAAAAUCUAGAAAUUCACUAAUUUAAAUUACUGUUUAGGAAGUUGAAAAUAAUAUUAGUGAUAAUAAUAUUAAUUAGGAUUACUAAUACUAAAUAAAAUAUUGAAGUUGACAAGGUAGCAUUAUAUGUAAGUUGGCAAGGAUUUUACAUUUGUGAAAGAUUGUAACUAUUGAAGUAUAUAUUAUGAUCUCUAAUCAAGGUAGUUAAUGUGGAUGACCAAUUAUUUGAUUAAAAAAAAUUAUGACCACCGUAUGGGAUGUGUACUACAAGCAUAAACUUUUCCAUUUUAAGAGAUCACAGUACAGAGAAGUUGUUAUUUCAGAAAGACAACUCUCAAGAAAUUACAAACCCUUUAGAUUUGAAGCAAAAUACCAAAUCAGUUGACAUUUAUCUUAUCAACUAGCUCAACUGAAUCCCGGAAAUCUUCAAGCCUAAUAGGGGAUUGAGCUGCACAAGAAGGCAUGUAAGCAGGGGGUGGUAGGAUACUGGUGUCCGGGGUUUCACCAUUCUUCACUAUGAAAGUAGUGUCCAUUCCCCAUGUGAGAUGUCUAUCAAUAUGACAAUGCCAUAGCCAUACACCUGUAAAGAAAUACUGAGAAUGGUAAACAAAAAGAUUUCUGCAACCCUGAAAGUGAUCUCUUAAGAAACAUACGUACCAGGAUUAUUUGCUAAAAAUCUGAGGGCAACCCAUCCAUUCUUUGGAACUGUAAUGGUGUUACGUUCAGACGGAUCGACCAAAUUGUACGAUUUUGGAUCAGUCUCAUUGUUGAAAACUCCAGUACCCAUCCCAACCACAUAAAAGGUGUAUCCAUGCAAAUGCAUUGGAUGAUCUGAGGCUUGGCCUUGCAGGUUAGUCCCCUGGAAUACUAUCUCCACUGAUUCAUUAUAAUUGAACACCUUCACUUUUGUUGCCACUACAGACAAUGGAUGAACAUGAAUAUCCCCAGUGAAGUUAUAGUAAGAAGGUGGGUAGUCUGGAAAAUCUGUAGUGUAAACCCCGCUGGUGUGCCUGCAAUAAAGUUUUCAUAAUGUCAUUUUCCAAGCAUGCACAUACUAAUAUCAGACUAUUGUGAAGAAGAUUUUUUUAGCUUGAUGUUUCCUUGUAGACAUCGAUGUCCUUGUUGAAUAAGAAAAUGUGUUGGGAAUAUGUUUAUAGAAAUUUUAUGUCAUGAAGGGAGAAACUUCCGAGAGAACAUCUGCAUCUAGCGAUAAUUAUACCAAUCAUUUGGAGAGGUAAGAGACAGAUCAGAGACCCAUUUUGGGGCAAAGAAAUAGAAGAUGUUACAGAGCUUAAGUUCAUCACCAAGAUACUAGGAACGAUAGGAACAUUUCUCCCUAAUUUCUCUAAUUAGUAAUUUCAGGCGCCAUAUAUGGAAUGGAGAAAUUUUUCUCUAAUUUCCCAUGCCCUUAGGAUUUCCUCAGUGCUCCUUGGGUCACUUAAAAAGAACCUAGCUAAAUAAUGAAGACCACCACAAUGGCCAUCAACAUGUACUUUAGGCUAUGUUUGGUUCCUGAAAAUUUUGAGGGAAAAUGCAAAUGGAACCAAAUAUUAACAGCCGUGAGAGGGAGAAGGACAGAAAGAAAUUAAGAGAAAAAGAAAGAAUGAAAGAAGAGAAGAUGAUGGCCUUUUGAGGAAAAAAAAAAUUUGGGAACACGCCUACAAGCUGCUUUUUGGGGCACACUAUUUAAGGAAGGAUCACUCAACUCUAGUAUUCAAACACAACAUGAUUAAUUAGUUUGUAGAGAAAAGAAUCAAAGAAACAAAAUAAAGAUAGAGAAAAUAUAUAAUAAACAAAGGGAUACCAGUACCUGUAAUAGGCAAGCAGAAUACUUGAAGUUGGGUCCAUAAAAGUGAUGUUGUUCAAGCUGGCACCAAGAUGGCUGACCUCUGUCCCCUCAAGUGUAUAAUUAACCAAAUUUAUGGAAGCUGUAAUGAACAUCCUGGUAGUUAUAUUGAGUGGGACAUUGACUGGGUGCUCUGGGGUUGCUAAGCUCCUCAAGAGGGGAAGAAAGCCCAAUCCAGACUCCCAGUCAUGGAAUAAGGGAAGGUUAGUGGGAAAGGAAGGUUCGUCCGGGGGAUUAUAGUUCCCUCUAUACUGAAGAAUAGCGGUAGCCGUCAUAUUAUUGAAGGUAGCAUUGGCGGUAAAGGUUGUGAAUCGUCUUGCACCCAUGUAGUAAUGACUUAAACUCUGGUUUGUUGUGAUCAAAACAUCCAUAGUUUGGCCUGGGGCUAUCAUGAUAUAACUGGUCACUUUUGGCUUAGUGUAGGUUCCGUCCGUGCCAACGAUAGUGAGGUUAUGCUCAGAUAUGGCAAAGAAGAGUUCUACAUUAACCACUGCAUUCACUAUGCGAAGAAGAUAGGUCCCGCCAUAGUCCACCAGCAAACGGUGUGUUGUCUCUGCAUGCAACACAUGAAUUAUGGUUAUCUAUGUAAGUCUUAAGAGUUUUUUUGGUAGUGAUUCUAGGAAAUGUUUCCGAGCCUUUCUAACUCUUAAAAAUAACCUUUUUUAACAAGAAUUUUCUAACAUAUAAAAAGUUGGCUGCUAAAAUCACAACCAAAAAAACUCUAAAUAUAUGAUUUAGUAUUUCCUCUGGCCUCUAGCCUUUGGCUGGGUGCAUAGAUGUUUACAUACCACCACCGCAUGGGACAAGAUCUCCUGGUUCGCCGUUGAUGGUGAAAGCAUUAUCAUCCAGUAGUGUUUCAAAAGUUUGAUUUGAAAAGAACUCCUCAUAUUCCUUGUUCAAGUCUCCUGAAAACCAAGAUCCUGCAAGUACAAUAAAAAUAAAAUGCAAUAAACCCCUAGUUUUUUUUUCAACUUGUUUUAAUAUCUUUUGUUAGUGUUUCAUUUUGGUGUUGAUUUCAAUCACAUCCGAGUAGGAUUUAGCAACUUCAUUGGUUAAUAUAUUUCUAUAAGUAUAUUUCAAAAUUUUAUAUGGGGAAACAGACCCUGUAAACGAGAUUUUAUUAUUGAAACGUGAUAAGUAAUUUAUCAAAUAUUUAUAUAUGGAAGUUUGACUAUAUGUACCUAAUACCAGGAGUUGUUCACCAUCAGGCUUGGGAAAUGGGUAGGUGGUUCCUUCAGUUGGCAAGAUAACAAUGGCACCAUGAACACUGGCCCUUGUCCAGUCACUAUGGGCAUGCCACCAAAGAGUUCCUUCCUGAUCUUCACCAAAUAUCACCUUGUAGGUGAAGUUUGUUCCUGGCUGAAUCUUGCACUGAGUUAUGUGGUCUGGACCAUCUGACCAUGGAUUCCUUGUUUGCUUCACUCCAUGCCUGCAUCACAACAUUCUCAUGAUUAAUCUUCCACUCACAGAGUGUAUAAGAAGGAGAAGUAUCGAUCCGUACCAAUGGAUAGUGACACCAAAAUCGUCUUGAUUGUGAACGUUGAUAUACACCAGGUCGCCUCUGUGAAUACGAAUCACCGGCCCUGGAAAGCUAUCAUUUACAGUCAUCAUGCUCUUUGUCUUGCACAGCUUCGUGAAAUUGGUCUCUUUCAGCUUGCAAAACACCAGAAUACCCAAUAAAUUAAAAAAAUAAAGAAACCUUAUAUUCUGCAUGCAUGGGUAAUGGGUGCUAAAAUAGUACUCACAACAAAAUCAUAGUAAUGGGUGCGCCCUUCAGCCAUGGAAGCUAACAUUCCAGUCAAAAGCGCAGGCACUAGCACCUCUAAUAAAAACCUCAUCUUCUUCAUCUUCCUUUAAAUUCAAACAUAAAACUCUUUCCUUCUGAGCUUGUUUUCCCUCUGAAGCUAAACGUAGUAUUUAUAAGUACUGAUCGUAUUAGUGGGUCAUGGACAUGGGGGCCACUCUGACUUACUGUUUCUCGCUGUAAGACAUCCGGUUAGUCAAAUCCAGCUACUUUUCAAUGAGUGUCUCAACAAAUUUUCAAUUUGUUGACUGGCGGGCAAUCGAAUUGCUUUCCAGAGAUUUUCCUUCCAUGAUGAGACUUGGAUUGAAUGAGAAAGGGAUAUAAUUAGCAUUUAUUUUUAUUUUUAAAAAUAAAAAAAUAUGUUAAUAAUAGUAUAAAAAAGACUUUAUUUUUAUUUUUUUCUUGUGAUUUCUCAAUAAAUUUUUAUGAUUUAGAUACUUUUCUGAUACUUGUUAAAUGAGGUAUUGAUGUUAAUUUCUUAUUUUAUAAUUUUUAUUAAAAUUGCCUAAUUUUUUAUAUCCCAUCUGGCUAUGGCUAUUGGCUAGUGAAAUCAGAAAGAGCCAAUCAAAUCCAGCUACUUUUCAAUGCGCGUCUCCCCAAAUUUUGCUAGGUCCACUUUGUUGAAUGGCAAGCAACCCAAUUUCUUUCCGAGUAGAAACAAAUAAAAUAAUCGAAAAUAAAUUUAAGGAGUGUUUUUAAUCUUAAAAAAAAACCGUUUUUUAAAAAAAAUAAAAAUGAAAUAUUUAACAAAAUUUAUAAAACACUUUAAAAAAUCUGAAAACUUUUAAUUAUAAUAUUGAAAAAUCAUUUAUAAUAUUUUUUUAAAAAAAAACUUGAUUAAAAAAAAAAAGUACUGCUCAUAUUUUACUAGAGAAAUAAUUUUAAGACUUCAUUAAACAUAAAGCAUCUACAAAAUUUAGUGGUUAUUUGGUCGUGUAAUUUAAAAAUAAUUUUUUAUUUUUAAAAAUAAAGAACUAUUUUUAAAAAAAUUUGACAAUGUUUAAUCAUUGUUCUCUAAAAAUAAUUUUUAAAAAUAAAAUAAAAUAAAGAAUAGUUUUUAGAAAACAAAAAGAAAUUAUUUUUACUAAUUUUUAAAAAUAAAAGAAAAAUAUAAGACCCCUUUUAUCAUAUUUUCUAAAAUUUAUUUUUAAAAACUGUUUUUAAGUAGUUAAAAAGAAUAAAAAAUAAUUUUAUAAAAUAAGUUUCAAAAACAAAAAUGGCAAACAGACCCUUAUUCCUUACUUCAAUAGUGCCUCGUCUUUGACUUGAUAAUUGGGACAAGCUAAGUAUGCAAUUAGUUUAGGCUGACAUAAAGCUCAGAAAUUUAAACACGUUAAUGAAAUAAUAAAUUAAUAUUGCAAUAAAUAAAUUAAAAGGAAACAAAAGCACGUGUAGACACAGUGUCCUAAUCACCUGUCCAAGUGUUGGUGACAACUGUUGAAUUGUCCAUAUCUUAAUACCCAACAAAAGAAGAAAAUAAAAAAUAUCCAACUUUGAGUGAAGUUGGCAAAAUUCUUGAGGUCACUUCAAAAGGUAAGUAAGAUUUUGUUAUAUUAUAGACAGAUAUGGGGAUGUCAUAUACCCAUAAUUGCAUAACCAAUAAUUCUACCAAGGCCCAUAAAUGCUAACGCAAGAAUAUUUCAAGUUUAUCAAUUACAUAGUAAUUGAUAAUAUAUAUAUAAUACUUUUAUUUUAUUUUUAUAAUAAUGGAAGUUUUUAAACUAUUUUUUUUAAAAUAUCAAAAUUUCAACCACCUCCUACAAGCUUAUGAACUUGAAUCUACACUUAGUGUUGACAAUUUCAACUCAAGGAUCCAUAGUGAAUUAUGUCUUGAACUAGGCCUUUUAAGUCAAACUUUAACAUGUCACACACAUAGUACUGAUACAAGCUGACUUGGUUUUAAGUGGGUUAAUGCUAUUAAUGAUAAUGUAUUUGUAUCUUGAUUCUAAUGAGAGUUGCUACAAAACAAACCUAUUCCCAUAGUCGCUCACGACAACUCUUAUUUAGGUGACUCCUCUUAGGGUAUAUGUGACCUACACCUCAUAGGAUAUCCUAUCUCGAGCUCAUUCAAGAAAUACACUUCCUAACACCACAUUGGUAGCAUUAUCAUCACAAGAACAAGAAAGAACUUUCUCCUUAAAAGUAGUGCUACUUAGGAGUCAUGCAUGCAAUGAGGAUUGUCUCUACCCAUUAAACCUUCUUCAUGAGAUCUUCAAUCACAAAGGUUGGAUUACCUCUAGAGGUGUUUCCUUUGGGGGCUUAGCCCAUCCACAUCGGGCAUAUGGAUCUAGCUUACUAGUUAGUGUUGAGGCAACUAUUCAUAAUUAAAUGAAAUGGAUAUGAUUUUCCUCAUUUUCCUACAUUAUGCUAAUUUAUCAAUAUAUAAGGAUGUCUUCCACUUUUCCUGCAUCAUUAUACUAGGAACUCCAAAUUACUCCAUUCCCUGAUCCAAGAUCUUGUAGGGUGCAUGCAACUAUUCUUAGGUUUCUCUAAAUCUAUCGUAGUAGAGUAAAAUGAUAAUAAAAAUCAUUAUUAAUCAUAGAUCUAGAAAUAUAAUACUCAUACCUAUAAUUUAGAUAUUCCUAAAUCAAAAUCCACCAGAUGAAGAUGUUGAAUAAUGUUAUAGUCAUUGUAGAACUAGUCUACCUAGUGCUCUUUCACCCGAUCUCUCCUUUCAUGGAUCUUGGCACGAGAAAGGGUGGACUUCUCUCUCUCUAGAGGGUGACUAAGAUUUCUUUCUUUAGAAUCUAAAAUAUAUGAGCAAAAAAAACUUUAAAGCUCUAACUUUUAAGGAUGUUUAUAUAUGCUUUCAUGUGAGCUUCAUUAACUUGAGCCCAAAUUGGGCUUAGGUCACCUAAUAAAACCCACUUAGGUCCUAAUUAAUUAAUUAGCCCUAACAAAAUCUAAUUAAUUAAUUAGCUGAUUCCAUAAAAUCAAUUCAUAAGAUCUAAUGCAACUUUAUGUUUUUAUCAAAACACCUUCUAUACACUUAUGAAUUAUAAACCUAAAAUAGCCUUAGUCACCAUGAAAUAAGAGCUCGAGUGGGGACCAUUAGGAUGCAUAGGAAAAUAUUAGUUCCCUCAAAAUCUAAUUUCGAAGUUUAUUUGACAUUCCACUAAAGAGAGUCAAUUGCACUUCAUUAUCCUAUGAAAUUACAACGAAACAAAAUUUAAGUUUGUAUCCUACUAUUCAUUGCAUGCAGACUUCUCAUGAACCGAUGUCUAUAAUCUAAGAGGGUAGUGGUAUCAACCUUGUUAUGUCAUGGUUGUUGAAUUCUAUGUUACUAAAAAUUGAAAAACCAUUCUUAUACCUCUCCUCAGCCAAAGAAGUUUGGGAUGCCAUCCCAUAAACUUAUUCAAAGAAAGAAAACACUACUAGGAUUUAUGAUUCACAACAUGAAGUAGAAAGAUCUCACUACAACAACCUACCACAAUACGCUAAAAAUCUUGUAGCAAGGAUUGGAUUUUCAUCAACACUUAAGUUGGCUUAAGUGACCGAGUGGGUUAGAUUAAGUGACCCAAGUUUAAGUUGGCCCAAAGUCACUUAAGCCCACGGGAGAGUCUAUAUAAACUCUAUGUGUUUUAGGUUUAGACUCUUUUAACUUUAUAGACCAUUAAUCUUCCAAAUACCUAGCCUCCUCCUCUUUCUCUCCUUUCAAGGUGUGUAGUCACUCUAUAUAAGUGUCAUAGAUCAAAAAAAGAGUGAUCGGGUGGAAGAUUCUUGGUUUUGAGAUCCCCCUUGCCAUCUUCAUCGAUUGAAAUCGAUUUAUGAACAUCUAGAUCACAUGUAUUGUUUUCUAAGCAUUUAGAUCUAAUUUUAAUUAUUUUAGUUGUAUUUAGAUCUAAUGGCACUAGGAUCUAAAGAGCAUGCACCAUAUGAUCUUGGUGUUUCCAACAAAAUCUUACUAUGUUCUUCAUGAAAUUUUAAUAGGUUGUUGGAGGCAAUCUAAACUAUGUUUCUAAGAGUUUGGAUUAUUGUUUCCUCUCUUUUAUUGUUUAUAUUUGGGUGAGACUCAAACCUUUGAGUUUGAUGAUAUUUGUUGAAAUCCAACUUUGGGUGAAUUGUUGAUGAUUGAUAGUCUCUAGUUUUUAUUACUAAAUAAGAACUCAUUGUACCUCAUCAAUUUUUAUUAAUGAAGAUCCGAGUAAAUUGGUGGUUUUUCCUUUCACAUUUUACAAUUUUUCACAUAAAUAUGUGUGUCUUGAUGAUCGGGGAUUGUAUUAAUUUAUACUGCCCAUUUUAUUCACUUGAUGUUCUAGAUUUGCAUGCCUAUUUGAUUGCACAAAGAGGGAAAAAAAGAUUCAUCUUUUUUACUUGGAUUUAUUUCUAGAUCAGAACUGUUCAAAGAUUACUCUUCUUCCCCAACAUAUAUAGUAUAUAUUACAAGAAAAGACAUUCUUCUCAAGAAGACAUUACCUAAGGAAGGGAACUAAUAUUAUUACAUUUAAUAUAAUGUAAAAGAAUAACAUAAUUCCUCACUCCCAAUCUUCCUCCUCUCUAAGAGUCCCAAGCAGAUAAGUCCUCUUGAAACAUAUGACAGUAGAUCUUAUAAAAGGUCAGGCAACACUUCAAUAUUAGUUUAUAUUAAGAGUGGCCAAACUAAUUGACCUGAUGGCUGAACUAGUCAAUAUAUUGCCCAACUUGACCAGACUAGGAUUUUUUUUGGAAAUAAAAAUACCCAAUUAGAUAACAGGGCUUGUAUUAAUUAUUUCAAUAGACUCCUCAAAAUCUUCAAGCCUAAUAGGGGAUGGAAGUGUACAUGGAGGCAUGUAAGCAGGGGGUGGCAGGAGACUGGUUUCUGGGGUUUUGCCAUUCUUCACUAUGAAAACAGUAGCCAUGCCCCAUGUGAAAUGCUUAUCAAAAUGACAAUGCCAUAGCCAUACACCUGUAAAGAACAACCAAAAGAAUCUGAGAAUUGUUGGUAUGUUAAAACUGGCUAUCCAAAAUAAAAAGAACAUUUUUGCAACCUUGAAAAUGAUCUCUUAAGAACAUACCGGGAUUAUUUGCUCUAAAUCUGAGGGCCACCCAUCCAUUCUUUGGAACUACAAUGGUAUUACGUUCAGGUGGAUCAACCAAAUUGUACCAUUUCGGAUCAGUCUCGUUGUUGAAAUUUCCACGACCCAUUCCUACCACAUAAAAGGUAUAUCCAUGAAGAUGCAAUGGAUGAUCUUCAGCUUCAUCUAGCAUGUUAGUCCCCUGGAAUAUAAUCUCCACCGAUUCAUUAUAAUUCAACACCUUCACUUUUGUUGCUAGUUUUGUUAUAGAAGAAGGCCAAUCAUCCCCAGUGAAGUUAUAGGAAGAAGGUGGGUAGUCUGGAAAAUCUGUUGUGUAAACCCCCUUAAUAUGCCUGAAUAAGUUUUUUAGCGCUAGUCAGCAAGCAUUUAUACAGAGCAAAAUAAAUUUCUUGUAAGCAAAAUAAAUUAUAUAAAAGAAAAGGAAGUCUCACUUUCUGUAAGAACCAUGGGCAAUGGCUAUUUUCCCCAUCAUCCCAGAAUGGUGAAACCCAUUAAGCCCGCAAUGACUGACUCAAUGGUUGGAAACAUUAAAAGCCAACCAUUGACUUGGCUUUAAAAUCUUAAAAUCUUCACUCUAAACCAAUUUUCCCUCCUAAAAUUGGGAAGUUUUAAACUUUCAAUAAUAUUCCAAUUUCAAAGCUAGCCACCUGUUUCUUCUGGUCAGGCCAUGUAGAACCAACGAAGUGAAAACAAAACAAAGAUAAUGAAAAGGAAUGAACAAAGGAAUACCUG
rnacentral:lncRNA from 1 species